rnacentral:rRNA from 1 species
UACAGAGGUCUCAAGCGUUGUUCGGAUUCAUUGGGCGUAAAGGGUGCGUAGGUGGCAGGGUAAGUCGGAUGUGAAAUCCCGGGGCUCAACCCCGGAACUGCAUUCGAUACUGCCUUGCUAGAGUACUGGAGAGGAGAUUGGAAUUUACGGUGUAGCAGUGAAAUGCGUAGAUAUCGUAAGGAAGACCAGUGGCGAAGGCGGAUCUCUGGACAGUUACUGACACUGAGGCACGAAGGCCAGGGGAGCAAACGGG